ensembl:lncRNA
GUUCCAAUCUCUGCGUAAAUGUGAGGCUUUACUGUAUGUUUGCUUAUCUGUCCAGCCAUCCCAUCUAUUCAAACAGCUUUCCUUUUAUUUAAAGCUGUGUGCUGGCUGGGCUUUUUAUCCCUAGGACUUUUUCUGUUAUUUUGGGACCAGAUGGCGAGGGGCACGGAAGCGCCUCUUUUGUCUGGGUGCUUCUUUUGAAAAGAGGUUGUCGUUCCCUAAUGUAAUCAGCAGCACCGGAAGGGUCCAUUUUGGGCCGUGAAAGAAGACAAUUGGGUCUGGACACCUCUAGCUUACAGAAAUGUAGAGUUCAUCUCUCGACCCUGCCCCCUUUGACCAAGGCCCUGGCAUGAAGGAUGCUGAUCUUUGAUCAGUGGAGGGUGGAGGUGCUGAUCCGACCUCAUGAGGGCCAAAGGGCACCCCCCUCCACCCCGUUGCCCUGUUUACCCUGUACUUGGCUACUGCUGACACCUCCUUCCGGAAGAAGCCAGGGGGUAGUGGGUUGGGUUGGGCAUGGUGCGGGGGUGUACCAUGACCUGUCUAGACACAGUUGUUGUUUGUUGCCCUGGUGUUGCCAAGGGGGACACGGUGAACUUUGACCUCAACUGUAGUUGGUUAGGAGCUACUUUGGUCAUCCAAGGAAGACAUUUUUUUUUCUUUUUAAUUUCAGGGUUGGAGGUGGGGAAAUGAGGCGGGGUAUGGAUGUGACCUACAUAAUGCGCAAUCUGCUUUCAGAAACCACAGGCAUGAAUUUGUUGGCAAAACUGGUUUUAUUUUUUUAUUCAUUUAAUUAUUUGCUAGUUAUAUUAUAUGAUAAUUUCAGUUGGGUCACAAAAUGGAAGACUUGUAUUGUGAUUUUGCUGUUUACUGGAUGCACUUUUGGAUGUUUUCUUCAUCAUACACAGACUGGCAGCUUCUUCUUAACAGCUCUAUUGCAAGGCACUCUACAUCCAAACUGCAGUGUGGAAAAUUUAAAGGUAAAUGUCCAAAUUUUUAUUUUUAGCUCUUCCUACUUUCGCUGAAUGACAGUUUAUUAUGAUCCUCUUGGUGUGAAUGUGUUUAUUUCCUUUCCACAGUGCAGGGAGCUAGCUGGUGUACUAGGAGGAAGAUGUCAUGCUAAGGAUGGGUUUUGGUGAUGAUGUUGCUACUGUUGAUGCAGCAUCGAGCUCUCACUUUGUGCCUCUGUCAGCUAUGAUCCGUAACCACAAAGUGAGUGACAGGCCAGUCCCUGGGGAAAGCAAGGGGGCCUGAGGUGAGUCAGAUGUAUCCUUGACCCUGUCUGGCUGUGUGUCAGCGAGCAACACAAACUCUGUAUAAAAAAAAAAGAAAAAGAAAAAAAAAAAGGCCAAAACUGGCAUGACUGUACAUUGUACAUCUUUAUUUAGUAUGUAGAAGAAGAAUGUAGGAGAAACAGAACCAACCUGAGUUUUUCUGUUAAGUGGAUCCGUUUUUUUGUUGUUGCUAGACUCAUUUUGAAAUUAUAAUGAAGCGCACAUUACAAAUUGAUACCUUUGAUACCUUUGUGUGCAUUUCUCUUCCACCAGAGUGCUGAUGUUUUAAUCUUGGCUUUGUGAUGUUGUCACAGACCUGUUUUAGACAAACUCAGCACAAAUUUUGUAUACACUGUUUACUCCAGUGCAUUACAUAUGGCUUAAAUAACACAUUCAUGCAAGGAAACAUAAAUCUGUUCAUUACUGAGGGUAAAUUUUACUCAGGUUUGAAGUUGCAAAGUGGCAUAUUCACUCAAAUUAGCAUUUUGAUUUUUUUCACUUAAAAUAACUGAAGCUGAUGAUUGAGAAAAUCUUUAUUAAUAUAGCUGUUGUACAGGAUAUGUGGUCAAAUGGUAGAAAAAUGUUCCACUGUUAAUCAGCUGCAGCACUAGGUGUUGCAAUACUUAAAGAUGGUGUAACGUUUGUACACGAUGGACUCAAAAUGAGGGGCCUGGAAAAUGUUAUCCACAUCUCAGGAUUUCUUAUUAGAGCAAAUACCUGAUCAGUUUGAGAAGGUGUCCAAUUGAGAAGAAAUUUUUGAAUUUAUUGAAUUGCGAUAAAAUAUCUGUUUUAUUUCUGGCCUUUUUUUGUUAUAUUCAUGUACUGACAAAUUUAAAAAUAUAUAGAUUUUAGACUUUUAAUCAGAUAAAACUGUUAAUCUGAUGAUAAUGUUUAAGCAUUUUGUGUUUGGGGAUUUUGUGUAUCUAAUGUCUGAACAAUAAAUGAUCAAUGCAAAAUUUAAAGAAUAUAAUGAUGAUUAGUGAAAAUAAUUUUUGUAGUUGCUGCUUUUAGGUGUAAAUGUACAUUCAGAAAUUGAUAUCUGCAGAUGUUCCAAAAGAAAACAUUGUGUUUUGUGCCAUGCAAGAUAUUUGCUUCCACUUGCCAAAAAAGAUGACCCAUAAGACAUAUUAGGAAAUUAUUUUAAAAGUUGGUGUUUUUUUUUUUUAGUUCUAAAGUGCUUAUUGUAAUAUUUUGUAGCAGCAAUCAAAGACAAGAGUUCAUCCAAAGCCGUAGUCAGUGUUACACCAGACGCAUUCUGCAAAAGACAUGAUUCAACUUAAGGUGCAACUGCAAGAAAUGAUGUAUUUAUGUUAAAUUAAAUGUAAGAUAACUAUGAC